GGUGAACGCUGGCGGCGUGCCUAAGACAUGCAAGUCGAGCGGGCCGCGGGGUUUUACUCCGUGGUCAGCGGCGGACGGGUGAGUAACGCGGGGGUGACCUACCCGGAAGAGGGGGACAACCCGGGGAAACUCGGGCUAAUCCCCCAUGUGGACCCGCCCCUUGGGGUGUGUCCAAAGGGCUUUGCCCGCUUCCGGAUGGGCCCGCGUCCCAUCAGCUAGUUGGUGGGGUAAUGGCCCACCAAGGCGACGACGGGUAGCCGGCCUGAGAGGGUGGCCGGCCACAGGGGCACUGAGCCACGGGCCCCACUCCUACGGGAGGCAGCAGUUAGGAAUCUUCCGCAAUGGGCGCAAGCCUGACGGAGCGACGCCGCUUGGAGGAAGAAGCCCUUCGGGGUGUAAACUCCUGAACCCGGGACGAAACCCCCGACGAGGGGACUGACGGUACCGGGGUAAUAGCGCCGGCCAACUCCGUG
rnacentral:rRNA from 1 species